UCGAGGGGUAUAAGUCUUCGGAUUUAGAGACCGGCGCACGGGUGCGUAACGCGUAUGCAAUCUACCUUUCACAGAGGGAUAGCCCAGAGAAAUUUGGAUUAAUACCUCAUAGUAUAGCUGAACCGCAUGGUUCUACUAUUAAAGUCACAACGGUGAAAGAUGAGCAUGCGUCCCAUUAGCUAAUUGGUAAGGUAACGGCUUACCAAGGCUACGAUGGGUAGGGGUCCUGAGAGGGAGAUCCCCCACACUGGUACUGAGACACGGACCAGACUCCUACGGGAGGCAGCAGUGAGGAAUAUUGGUCAAUGGACGCAAGUCUGAACCAGCCAUGCCGCGUGCAGGAUGACGGUCCUAUGGAUUGUAAACUGCUUUUGCACAGGAAGAAACAACUCUACGUGUAGAGUCUUGACGGUACUGUGAGAAUAAGGAUCGGCUAACUCCGUGCCAGCAGCCGCGGUAAUACGGAGGAUCCAAGCGUUAUCCGGAAUCAUUGGGUUUAAAGGGUCCGUAGGCGGUUUAGUAAGUCAGUGGUGAAAGCCCAUCGCUCAACGGUGGAACGGCCAUUGAUACUGCUAGACUUGAAUUAUUAGGAAGUAACUAGAAUAUGUAGUGUAGCGGUGAAAUGCUUAGAGAUUACAUGGAAUACCAAUUGCGAAGGCAGGUUACUACUAAUGGAUUGA
rnacentral:rRNA from 1 species